rnacentral:rRNA from 1 species
CUACGGGGUGCUCCAGUCAAGAAUCUUCCUCAAUGGCCGAAAGGCUGAAGGAGCGACGCCGCGUGUAUGAAGAAGCCCUUCGGGGUGUAAAAUACUUUUGUCUGGGGCGAAACAAUGACGGUACCAGACGAAUAAGGGGCUGCUAACCUCGUGCCAGCAGCAGCGGUAAUACGAGGGCCCCGAGCGUUAUCCGGAUUUAUUGGGCGUAAAGGGUCCGUAGGCGGCCUAGCGCAUCUUUCGUAAAAUCUAUCGGCUCAACCGAUAGUCUGCGGGAGAGAUGGCUUGGCUAGAGGCCGGAAAAGGCAAGUGGAAUUGCUGGUGUAGGGGUUAAAUCCGUUAAUAUCAGCAGGAACACCAAAUGCGAAGGCAGCUUGCUUGGACGGUCCUGACGCUGAGGGACGAAAGCGUGGGUAGCGAAUGGGAUUAGAUACCCGCGUAGUC